rnacentral:rRNA from 1 species
UACGAAGGGGGCUAGCGUUGUUCGGAAUUACUGGGCGUAAAGCGCACGUAGGCGGAUAUUUAAGUCAGGGGUGAAAUCCCAGAGCUCAACUCUGGAACUGCCUUUGAUACUGGGUAUCUUGAGUACGAAAGAGGGUCGCGGAAUUCCCGGUGUAGAGGUGAAAUUCGUAGAUAUCGGGAGGAACACCGGUGGCGAAGGCGGCGACCUGGUUCGAUACUGACACUGAGGUGCGAAAGCGUGGGGAGCAAACAGG